UGUCUGUGUGUGUGUGUGUGUGUGUGUGAGUGUGUGUGUGUGUGUGUGUGUGUGUGUGUGUGUGUGUGUGUGUGUGUGUGUGUGUGUGUGUGUGAGUCUGAUCCAUUCAGGCCCUAAUCCUCCUCAUUGAUACGCAGUAUAGCCCUUGAUUGGUUUGCUGUGGUCUGGCUUGGAGUCUGUGCAUAAUGCGCUGCAUCAGUAGCAUCCACUCACACACACACACACACACACACACACACCACACUCACUCAUGCUCACUCACACACACCACACUCACACAUAGCUGGAAAUACACACCACACUCACACACACACUCACUCACACACACACACACACACCACACUCACACACUCACUCACACACACACACACACACACACACACACACACACACACACCACACUCACACAGAGCUGGAAAUACACAACACUCACACACACUCACUCACACACUCACUCACUCACACACACACACACACACACACACACACCCACCACUCUCUCACACUCCCUCACACACACCACACUCACACAGAGCUGGAAAUACACACCACACUCACACACACACUCACUCACACACACACACACACACACACACACACCACUCUCUCACACUCCCUCACACACACCACACUCACACACAGCUGGAAAUACACACCACACUCACACACACACUCACUCACACACACACACACACCACACACACACACACACCACACUCACACACUCACACACACCACACUCACACAGAGCUGGAAAUACACAACACUCACACACACACACACACACACACACACACACACACACACACACACCACUCACUCACAUACACACACACACCACACACUCACACAGAGCUGGAAAUACACACCACACACACACUCACUCACUCACACACACACACACACCACUCACUCACACACACACACACACACACACCACACACACACACACAGAGCUGGAAAUACACACAACACUCACACACACACACACACACACACCACUCACUCACACACACACACACACACACACACACACACACACACCACUCACUCACAUACACACACACACCACACACUCACACAGAGCUGGAAAUACACACCACACACACACUCACUCACUCACACACACACACACACACACCACUCACUCACACACACACACACACACACACACCACACACACACACACACAGAGCUGGAAAUACACACAACACUCACACACACACACACACACACACCACUCACUCACACAGAGCUGGAAAUGCACAACACUCACACUCUCCCUCAGCCAGGAGCACAUGGCAGGUA
rnacentral:lncRNA from 1 species